rnacentral:piRNA from 1 species
CCGCAGAACUUGGUGUCUGCCUCCCAUGGCGC